rnacentral:tRNA from 1 species
CAAGAUGUAGCUUAAAGCAUCUGGCUUACACCCAGAAGAUUUCACAUCAAAUGAUCAUCUUGA